CGUGUGCUCUGGUCCAAGAAUCUGUUAGCAAUCCACAGAGUCGAAUAUGUUACUGUCUUAUUUGGAAGCAUGGAAUUUAGAAGCUGGCAGAAGCCCGGGAGGUAGGCAGGCAUGAGUUGUAAAACAAGAGCAAGAGGACUUUUGGGCUCACUCUUGCUCAACUGCUCCUAAUGUAGUCUUCACAGUGUGGGACUGAAAAUCAAGCAGGGGAAAAAAAAAAAAAAGCCAUCUCUUAAGCCUGGUGGUCAGCAGCAACAGAAGACAGAAUGGGACUCAGUCUGCUCCUCUCUCCACUGAAAGCUUUCAGAGCGGCCGCGAAAAUCCCUGCAUGUCAGAGAAGGGCGGACACGACUGUGUGGCUGAGAGGCAGAAGGGGAGCCGUCCCAGGUAACAGCUGCAGCUGGCUUGUUUCCAUCAAACCUACAUCGUGCGAAAGCAAUCCUCCUCCUCGGGAGCCGGAUGGGAGACAACGCGGGACCCAAAGGAACGGAACUUUGCGCCACUGUAAACAGAGGAAAGAGUGUCAGUAAAUGGCCAAACCCUCAGGGCUGGGUAGACAGGCUUGCUGGCAGCGGAGCCUCAGAGAGAAACUCAAACAAAAACAUGAGAACAAAGAUCCUGAGAUGACCCAAGUUUGAGUGGUGGAGAUAAUCCCGAGCUACAAAACGGGAAGGGGAAGGCGUUGUUCAAAUGCCAAAUGUUCCCCAUGGGCUCCUGUUGAAAUCUUGGUCCCGGGCUGGUGUCGCUAUUCUGGGAGGUGUUGGAAACUCUGAGGACUGGGACCUAGGUGGAGGAAGUAGAAGGCAGAUACUAGCUCUUUUCACUUUCUUCUCGCUGAAGAACCGUGGACUCUAUGGCCACCACCUCUGGACUUAGGUACACUGAAUCAACACACUGAACCAGCAACCCCAAGCCCAGAAGGGUGGAGCACCCUGUCAUCCUGGAAGAAAAGCAGCUUACCUUCUGAAGCAGGAGCAUUUGCCAAUGGAUUCCUUUAAAUAACCAAUGCCUUGCAUGUUUAAGAGAAGUCAUGAUUGACAAGAGCAUGACACAGAGCAGAGCUUUUUUGGAAACACAUCCCAUCCGUGUCGUUUGGGUGGCCUUGCCGGAUGAGCACAGUGGUGAUCCAGCAGAAGCAAGGCUGCACUGAAACAGCAUCUCUAGACUCAAAGUGAAACGGAAUCCUCUUUGGAUGCCCAACUUCUGGCUCAAGCGGUCUACACUUGAGUCUCACGGUCUCUUCUGCAGCUGGUGCUUGCUUGGUUAGAUUUGUCCUGCAGCUCAAAGGAUUGAUGUGAGCAUUAGAUAGGAUAAUGUAUUAAAUGUGAUGUGUAGCACCCUUCCUGCCUGCCACUUACUAAGUUAUUAACUGCUAUUGAUAACUGCUAGAUGGACAGGAUGCCGUCCCAAUGCCCAGGAAAUAGGAGAGCAGAUGUCUUGUUCUAUUCUAAUUACAUGAUCCACAAACCAGGCAAAGACUCCAAACACAGCUUCUAAUUAUCUAGUUAGCACGGAAGAACAAUCUAUAUUAGAUUAAAUUCCAAACAGCGACUUUCGGCCAAUAUAUCCUUACAUUCCCAACGUUCUAUUUUCC